GAUGAAGAACGUAGCGAAAUGCGAUAACUAAUGUGAAUUGCAGAAUUCCGUGAAUCAUUGAGUCUUUGAACGCACAUUGCGCCCCCUGGCAUUCCGGGGGGCAUGCCUGUCCGAGCGUCAUUUCUGCCCUCCAGCCCGGCUGGGUGUUGGGCGCUGUCCCCCCGGGGACACGCCCCAAAGGCAGUGGCGGCGCCGCGUCGGGUCCUCGAGCGUAUGGGGCUUUGUCACCCGCUCGGGACGGACUCGUCGGCGCUGGUCUUCCUCCAGGCGACCCUUCGGGGCUCGUCUUCCUUCGGUUGACCUCGGAUCAGGUAGGGUUACCCGCUGAACUUAAGCAUAUCAAUAAGCGGAGGA
rnacentral:misc_RNA from 1 species